rnacentral:lncRNA from 1 species
UCUAAAAAAAGCUUAGGAUGGUUAUCUAGAUGGAGCCUACCAUAAAAUCUUCUAAAAAAGAAUUUAAGGCGGUUGUCUAAGUAGAGUCCAUUACCUAAAAAUAUUCUAGAAGAUCCAAGGUCGUAGGAUAAGGUAUAAAUAGGAUUGGCUAGGGCCUUUUGGAGCAUUUGCUUAAAUAUGGUUUUGGACCCUUUUUCUUAAUAAAGUUUGAUUUUGCAUCUUUCUGUUCAGAUCUGUUUUAUUCUAUUUUUGUUUGCUCAAUUUUGUCUUUCAUGUCUUAUUUUUUUUAAUUCCAUUUAAUU